GCCUAACACAUGCAAGUCGAGCGGCAGCACAAGGGAGUUACUCCUGAGGUGGCGAGCGGCGGACGGGUGAGUAAUGCCUAGGGAUCUGCCCAGUCGAGGGGGAUAACAGUUGGAAACGACUGCUAAUACCGCAUACGCCCUACGGGGGAAAGAGGGGGACCUUCGGGCCUCUCGCGAUUGGAUGAACCUAGGUGGGAUUAGCUAGUUGGUGAGGUAAUGGCUCACCAAGGCGACGAUCCCUAGCUGUUCUGAGAGGAUGAUCAGCCACACUGGGACUGAGACACGGCCCAGACUCCUACGGGAGGCAGCAGUGGGGAAUAUUGCACAAUGGGGGAAACCCUGAUGCAG
rnacentral:rRNA from 1 species